ACCUUUGAAGCCUCUAGAUAAUUCACCUUAAAAAGCCAAUUUUACACAGCUGCUUUCUUCUGGAAAUCAUGCCUCAUUUGAAGCCUUUGCAUAACAGAUAGAAGACAGAGGUUCUCAUUCAGUGAGUUUUGAAUCUGCAGGAGUGCAGGAUUCAUAGGAAAAGUGUCUCCCAGCUCCAGUUCCUUAUCCUUCUAAUCUGAGUACAACAGUGUCUUAUCAGAAAGAGCUCCAGGAAGAGCUUGCUUCAAGAGAGAGGAUGCGGACAGAACCUUAAAUGUCAGGGAUAAAUAAAAUUGAUUGUAACUUUUGAAAGAAAAGUGUC
ensembl:lncRNA